rnacentral:misc_RNA from 1 species
AGUUUACAUGAGAACAUAAAUGCAUAAAUUUGGAAUAAUCUUAUCUGAACCAAUAAUUUUCCUUGUGUACAUUAGGUCAACCAGAAUUCAAAAUAAUGCUCUUGAUCUAGCAUACAACUUUCUUGUACUUUUAUCUACCAGCAUUUACAAUUACAUAUUUACAUAGACAACAUUUUGCUAAUUUAUUGGCUUUCAUGCAAGGUCAUUCCAUUGUUGGAGGUAUGAUUCUUUCUGGUAGCCUGUUUAGUUAUUAACCUUGCUACUGCUUCUGGGGAAGGGAAUUGCAUCUCUGACAUCAGGGAUGCCAGUAGCGAAGAGAACCAUAAGGUCAUACCCAAGAGUAAAACCAGAGUGCUUGACCGUUCCGUACCGGCGAAGAUCUAAGUACCAUUCAUACUGCUCUCUGGGCAAGUUUAGUUCAUUUAUCCUGAGAACAAUUUCAGUAACAAAAUUUAGGAAUUAGUUCUUAUUUUGCUAAGGACUUAUGCAAAAGAUUAUGAACUUAAGGUUGAAUUGCCAUUAAUCUGAACAAUAAAUAAAGUUUAGAGGAGAUAAAAUACUGAUAGUAAUUAACAUAAAAAUCAGUAGAACUAUGGUGCUGUAACCUUUCAUUUAGCAAAUUGAAGCGUUCCUCCUUUUGGUUACCUGUGAUGAAUGUUCCACCCUGAAAAAAUCCAGUAUUAUAAAAUUCUGUUAUAUUAGCAUUUCGAAGGAGUGGAAAAGUCCCAAUGAAACAUCAAAAUUAUGCAUGUCUUCAGAGAAAUUUUGAUCUUACCCUGGGUAUAACCAUAUCAAAUGCUGCAACUGUUUUUCCAUCGUCAUUCAAUCGUACAUAAAAUGGCUUCAAUUCUUUUGGGAAGUUGUAUAAAAUUACAGGCC